UACGGAGGGUGCGAGCGUUAUCCGGAAUCACUGGGUUUAAAGGGUGCGUAGGCGGGAUAUUAAGUUUGAGGUGAAAUGCUGUCGCUUAACGAUAGACUUGCCUUAAAAACUGAUGUUCUUGAAUUGGGAUGAGGUUAGCGGAAUGUGACAUGUAGCGGUGAAAUGCAUAGAUAUGUCAUGGAACACCAAUUGCGAAGGCAGCUAACUGGUCCUUGAUUGACGCUGAGGCACGAAAGCGUGGGUAGCGAACAGG
rnacentral:rRNA from 1 species